GCCGAUAUCAACGAGCGGUUCGCUCCACUGGAGCGUUCGGGACUCUGCGGGUUUCUGUCCAUGGAGGAGAGGAACUGACUCAAAGAAGAGGAGACGGGCGCACAAUCCCACGAUAGCGUGUCCUUUACAGGAAGCGGUGCGCCGUCUUCACAACUCCGAGACGAACUACAGGCGCCACGAACCGGAGCAAGGGUCAGAUUUACAGAAUAUGCUUUCAUUCUGCGCUAUAAGGAAAUAUAUACGUAUAGAUACCGAUCAUAACUGUACAUUUUGUUUUCACAAACUAAUCUCGCCUCAUAAUGAGGCGGUGACCUCGUAUUUGCUCCGGGAAAAGUCCAGAUUUAGACGACGUCAUUGUGUCCGCCUGUAAGACGUAUUUAGAGACGGGACGCAGGAGCUUCAGGUUCAGCCGGAACACUCAUUGCGGGCGGAAGCUGCGAAGGAUUCAGCGCGGAGUCGAGCGAGAAGAAAGAGGCUGCUGGAAUCAAGACAAAGUGUGCUGGCUGAUGACGAGGUGGAACUCCGCCACCGUGGAGCUCACGUCGGGCGGAGGGGACGGCGUUGUUGGCGGGGUCUCGGGUGGAUUGUACGGUCGCCACACACACACGAGCCGCCUGCACAACAGACCUGCCUCGGAAAACACGGCGCCAGUGACGGUCUACAACCCCGAGGAGGCAAACGGACAGUUUACUGAGCUGUAGUUUUUUAAACCGCCGUUACCCAAGUGUGGGCAGAUCCUCACUUUGUAUGUAGUUGUUGUUUGUGUGUUGUUAAUAAAGCUCUUUCUUUGCAUAAACAUGUGGCAAAUGUUCAUUUUCUCUAAAUUCAUUGAUGUCCUGGUUGGUAUCCUAAUAAUAGUGUAGUAGCCUACAUAGGAUAACCAUGAAAUGAAUAUACAGCAUAAUAUGAAUAUAUAAAUAUAU
ensembl:lncRNA